rnacentral:rRNA from 1 species
UGAACGCUAGCGACAGGCCUAACACAUGCAAGUCGAGGGGCAGCACAAGGAGCAAUCUGAGGUGGCGACCGGCGCACGGUGAGUAACACGUAUGCAACCUGCCUGUAAGCGGGGAAUAACCCGUUGAAAGACGGACUAAUACCGCAUAAUACUAAAUUACUGCAUGGUAAUUUAUUUAAACAUUUAUGGCUUACAGAUGGGCAUGCGCAUGAUUAGCUAGUUGGAGAGGUAACGGCUCCCCAAGGCAACGAUCAUUAGGGGUUCUGAGAGGAAGGUCCCCCACACUGGUACUGAGACACGGACCAGACUCCUACGGGAGGCAGCAGUGAGGAAUAUUGGUCAAUGGACGAGAGUCUGAACCAGCCAAGUCGCGUGCAGGAAGAAUGUCCUUAAUGGAUUGUAAACUGCUUUUGCAGGGGAAUAAAGUGCAUCACGUGUGAUGUUUUGUAUGUACUCUGCGAAUAAGGAUCGGCUAACUCCGUGCCAGCCGCAGC